GGCCAAAGAAAUUACUAGCCAAUACAUAUACAUCACAACUAGCACUCAACAUCUUUUCCUACAACUAUAUGACAAAGAUAUGUUAAUAAAUAAAAAUUAGAUAAGGUGAACCAAAACAAUAAUGGUAUUAUUCUGUCAGUAAAAUGACUAUAGUAUUAUGGUUAAUUAGACAUAUAAGAAUUACAAAACAGAAAGGAAAGUAAAAUUGCAACCCAGGUGAGGAAUUCAUUUUCUUUCUUUCUGUUUUUUUCUUGAGACAGAGUCUCGCUCUGCCGCCCAGGCUGGAGUGCAGCAAAGUGAGACCCUAUCUCAAAAACGAAAGAAACACCAAAUGAUGCUUGAAAUUCUUGAGAACUUGAUUUUUUAAUUUAAAACGGUAAUUUAAUUUGCAAGAGUUGUUUAGGCACUUGGGAAGAAUCUGUUCAUUAAGUUUAAAAUAUUGCCUAAGUGUUUGUAUGAAUCAAUUCAUUCAAAAAUUCUAAGGAAAGUGAUAAAUAUGUAAGUAGUGUUA
rnacentral:lncRNA from 1 species